rnacentral:rRNA from 1 species
UACGGAGGGUGCAAGCGUUAUCCGGAUUUACUGGGUUUAAAGGGUGUGUAGGCGGAUUAUUAAGUCAGCGGUGAAAUCUCCGAGCUCAACUCGGAAACUGCCAUUGAUACUAUUAGUCUUGAAUAUUGUUGAGGUGGGCGGAACGGGUCAUGUAGCGGUGAAAUGCAUAGAUAUGACCCGGAACACCGAUUGCGAAGGCAGCCCACUAAGCAAUGAUUGACGCUGAGGCACGAAAGCGUGGGGAUCAAACAGG